AAAAAAUAACGAUACGGGACUCAUCCGAGGCCCCGUAAUCGGAAUGAGAACAUCCUAAAUCCUUUAACGAGGAUCUAUUGGAGGGCAAGUCUGGUGCCAGCAGCCGCGGUAAUUCCAGCUCCAAUAGCGUAUAUUAAAGUUGUUGCGGUUAAAAAGCUCGUAGUUGGUUCUGCGUGCCACGCUGUCGGUUCACCGCCUGUCGGUGCAACUGGCAUGCCGUGGCAUGUCCUGUCGGUGGCGGAUAGGCUUCGCGGUGAAUUCUGCACAACUUAUGGUGUGCAGGUCGCCGUGUCGUCCUUGUACGCUGGCAUAAUCCUACCGCGGUGCUCUUUACCGAGUGUCGAGGUAGGCCGGCACAUUUUACUUUGAACAAAUUAGAGUGCUUAAAGCAGGCUCUUAAAUCAGCCUGAAUAGUGGUGCAUGGAAUAAUGGAACAGGACCUUGGUUCUAUUUUGUUGGUUUUAGGAAUCCAAGGUAAUGAUCAAUAAGGACAGGCGGGGGCAUUCGUAUUGCGGCGUUAGAGGUGAAAUUCUUGGAUCGUCGCAAGACGCACUAGAGCGAAAGCAUUUGCCAAGUAUGUCUUAAUUGA
rnacentral:rRNA from 1 species